rnacentral:rRNA from 1 species
GUGCCAGCCGCCGCGGUAAAACCGGCACCUCAAGUUGUCAGGAGGAUUAUUGGGCCUAAAGCAUCCGUAGCCUGCUCUGUAAGUUUCCGGUUAAAUCCAUUAGCUCAACUAAUGGGCUGCCGGAAAAACUGCAAAGCUAGGAAGUGGGAGAGGUAGACGGUACUCGGUAGGAAGGGGUAAAAUCCUUUGAUCUAUUGAUGACCACCUGUGGCGAAGGCGGUCUACCAGAACACGUUCGACGGUGAGGGAUGAAAGCUGGGGGAGCAAACCGGAUUAGAUACCCGGGUAGUCCCAGCUGUAAACGAUGCAGACUCGGUGAUGCACUGGCUUGUGGCCAGUGCAGUGCCGCAGGGAAGCCGUUAAGUUUGCCGCCUGGGAAGUACGUACGCAAGUAUGAAACUUAAAGGAAUUGGCGGGGGAGCACCACAAGGGGUGAAGCCUGCGGUUCAAUUGGAGUCAACGCCAGAAAUCUUACCCGGAGAGACAGCAGAAUGAAGGUCAAGCUGAAGACUUUACCAGACAAGCUGAGAGGUGGUGCAUGGCCGUCGCCAGCUCGUGCCGUGAGAUGUCCUGUUAAGUCAGGUAACGAGCGAGAUCCCUGCCUCUAGUUGCCACCAUUACUCUCAGGAGUAGUGGGGCGAAUUAGCGGGACCGCCACAGUUAAUGUGGAGGAAGGAAGGGGCCACGGCAGGUCAGUAUGCCCCGAAACUCUGGGGCCACACGCGGGCUGCAAUGGUAGUGACAAUGAGUUCCGAAACCGAAAGGUGGAGGUAAUCUUCAAACGCUACCACAGUUAUGAUUGAGGGCUGCAACUCGCCCUCAUGAAUAUGGAAUCCCUAGUAACUGCGUGUCAUUAUCGCGCGGUGAAUACGUCCCUGCUCCUUGUACACACCGCCCGUC